UUCACUUCUUUAGGUGUUGUGACUUACCACUCAUCAGUCUCCACUAUCCCCAAUUUCAUUUUGUAUGUGCAUUUAUACUGGAAAAAGAAAGAGUCAGCAAUUCCAGCAGCUCGAUACCACUCUCAACCCUUUCAGUGUGGAGCACCACCACAUUUGGAUUGCAGCUUAAAGGUCUCGUUGAUAGAGUCACCCCAUUCAUGUGGUGUUAGCACGGAGAUGAGAAAGAGAGAAAGACAACAUCAUGCUUUGCUGUCUGUGUGUGAACUGAGUAACAGCUGUGAAGGAUCAGUCACCAAAAGACUUUGAAAGAAGAGGCUUGAUUGGUCACGGUAAUGAUGCUCCCCUGG
rnacentral:lncRNA from 1 species